GCCAGUCCAUUGACAUUCCAGGAGCUCCACUUAAUCUCUCCUGCGCAAGUCCACUCCAGCCACCCAGUCCUGUUCCGCCAACAUUUGACAUAAGGUUUGGUGAAGUCAUAGGGCUGGGACUUCUAUGCCGAAACCUAUCUAGCUCACCAAAACCUUGGUUUGGCAUCAUUCCUGAAACCCUCAUGAUCUCUUGAUUCAAGAGUGUGCUACAUAUAGGAAGAACUUGCA
rnacentral:misc_RNA from 1 species